ACGCUGGCGGCAGGCCUAACACAUGCAAGUCGAGCGGUAGAGAGAAGCUUGCUUCUCUUGAGAGCGGCGGACGGGUGAGUAAUGCCUAGGAAUCUGCCUGGUAGUGGGGGAUAACGUUCGGAAACGGACGCUAAUACCGCACACGUCCUACGGGAGAAAGCAGGGGACCUUCGGGCCUUGCGCUAUCAGAUGAGCCUAGGUCGGAUUAGCUAGUUGGUGGGGUAAUGGCUCACCAAGGCGACGAUCCGUAACUGGUCUGAGAGGAUGAUCAGUCACACUGGAACUGAGACACGGUCCAGACUCCUACGGGAGGCAGCAGUGGGGAAUAUUGGACAAUGGGCGAAAGCCUGAUCCAGCCAUGCCGCGUGUGUGAAGAAGGUCUUCGGAUUGUAAAGCACUUUAAGUUGGGAGGAAGGGCAGUAAAUUAAUACUUUGCUGUUUUGACGUUACCGACAGAAUAAGCACCGGCUAACUCUGUGCCAGCAGCCGCGGUAAUACAGAGGGUGCAAGCGUCAAUCGGAAUUACUGGGCGUAAAGCGCGCGUAGGUGGUUAGUUAAGUUGGAUGUGAAAUCCCCGGGCUCAACCUGGGAACUGCAUUCAAAACUGACUGACUAGAGUAUGGUAGAGGGUGGUGGAAUUUCCUGUGUAGCGGUGAAAUGCGUAGAUAUAGGAAGGAACACCAGUGGCGAAGGCGACCACCUGGACUGAUACUGACACUGAGGUGCGAAAGCGUGGGGAGCAAAC
rnacentral:rRNA from 1 species